UUUUGUAUAGUUCUACGGAUUGGAUGUCACUCAAAACCCAUCAAAUGACAUAUCCCACAAUAUUGUGACGUUCCCCAAGUUUUGCACUCAAUCGGAUAUCGAUUAGUCCUUGAAAUCAGACAACUCAGGUUCGUACGAACGUCGUUCUGAAAUGGAGUGGUUAGUGUAUUGUAUAGUUCCGGGGAUUUUAUUUCACCCAAAAACCACAAAAUGACUCCUCCCACAAUAUUAUGACGUUCCCCAAGUUUUGCACUCAAUCCGCUAUCGAUUGGUCCUUGAAAUCGGACAAUUCAGGUUCGUAUGAAGUUCGUUCUGAAACGGAGUGGUUGGUGUAUUGUAUAGUUCUAGGGAUUGGAUUUCACUCAAAACCCAUCAACUGACAUCUCCCACAAAAUUAUGGUUUUCCCCAAGUUUUGCACUUAAUCCGAUAUCGAU
rnacentral:lncRNA from 1 species